rnacentral:rRNA from 1 species
GACGAACGCUGGCGGCGUGCCUAAUACAUGCCAGUAGAACGCUGAAGGAGGAGCUUGCUUCUCCGGAUGAGUUGCGAACGGGUGAGUAACGCGUAGGUAACCUGCCUGGUAGCGGGGGAUAACUAUUGGAAACGAUAGCUAAUACCGCAUAAGAGUAGAUGUUGCAUGACAUUUGCUUAAAAGGUGCAAUUGCAUCACUACCAGAUGGACCUGCGUUGUAUUAGCUAGUUGGUGGGGUAACGGCUCACCAAGGCGACGAUACAUAGCCGACCUGAGAGGGUGAUCGGCCACACUGGGACUGAGACACGGCCCAGACUCCUACGGGAGGCAGCAGUAGGGAAUCUUCGGCAAUGGACGGAAGUCUGACCGAGCAACGCCGCGUGAGUGAAGAAGGUUUUCGGAUCGUAAAGCUCUGUUGUAAGAGAAGAACGAGUGUGAGAGUGGAAAGUUCACACUGUGACGGUAUCUUACCAGAAAGGGACGGCUAACUACGUG